rnacentral:tRNA from 2 species
GGAGAGGUCGCAUAGUGGCCUAGUGCGGCGGUUUGCUAAACCGCUGAGGGGUAUUCCCCCUCCGAGAGUUCGAAUCUCUCCCUCUCCGCCA